rfam:Drosophila busckii chromosome 3L sequence.
CAAACUCAACUGAUGAUAACUUCAUAACCCACAUCAGAGCAAUUAUGUUGAAAUCUAAUUUAACAUGCAUCACCAUCUGACAUUGA